GCGCAUCUGUGCAUGCAGCAUAUCAAUAAGCGGAGGAAAAGAAACUAACAAGGAUUCCCUUAGUAACGGCGAGUGAAGCGGGAAGAGCUCAAAUUUGAAAUCUUCAAGGUUUUACCUUGACGGAAUUGUAGUUUAAAGAAGUGUUUUCUGUUGAAGUUUUGGUAAAAGUUCUUUGGAAUAGGACAUCAUAGAGGGUGAGAAUCCCGUAUUUGACCAUUAUUUUCAGCUGUGUGAUACACUUUCAAAGAGUCGGAUUGUUUGGGAAUGCAGUCCAAAAUGGGUGGUAAAUUUCAUCUAAAGCUAAAUAUUGGCGAGAGACCGAUAGCGAACAAGUACCGUGAGGGAAAGAUGAAAAGAACUUUGAAAAGAGAGUUAAACAGUACGUGAAAUUGUCAAAAGGGAAGCGUUUGACACCAGUGUUGUUUUCUCGAAAAUCAAUUAAAAAGAGUUUGAUUUUGUUGUGUAUUGACCUUAACAGCUUGCAUUUCAAUUUUCUUGCUUUUUUUAAUGCACUUUUCGUUUAACAAGUCAACAUCAGUUUCUUUUGUUGUAAAAAGGUCAUUGGAAGGUGGCUUUCUUUUCGGAGAAAGUGUUUAUAGCCUUUGACUCCUGCAAUCGGAGAGACUGAGGUCUGCAGCGUAGAUCCUUCGGGGUUAGAUACAUUUGUGCUAAGUUAUAGCUUUUUAUAGACAACUUGUUGACUAUGAUUAGUCUUGUAGCUUACUCGCCUAUGCUAUUUUACCUACGCUUAGGAUGUUGACACACGCGCGUGCUCG
rnacentral:rRNA from 1 species